rnacentral:tRNA from 1 species
UCCCUGGUGGCUCAGAUGGUAAAGCGUCUGCCUCCAAUGUAGGAGACCUGGGUUCAAUCCCUGACUGGGGAA